UCCAAGGCCACAGGGCCCAGCCCCUGCCCCCCAGCCUACGGCUGAUCCCUGACCUUGGGAUCCUCUUUCUGUUUUCCCAGUGGCCUUCGCAGACCCCUCGUGGAUGGCGGGGUGCCUGAGGGCUGCCCCUCGGAGGGGCCAUCUUCUGCCAUGUCCAGAUUCAAGUGAAUGUGGGAUUGGGACCCGGCAGCUGGUUGGUGACAGUCAGGUGGAGCGAAUGUCAGCCAAGCCCAUGUCAGGACCUUGGCGGGUGUGUAACACCUGGUAGAGGCUCGAUAAAUGUGACAUCUCACCGCUCAUCCCACCAUCCUGUAACUGUCGGUUUACUUUCUCGCCCGUGGUCGCGUCCUCAUUGUCCUGCACCAGCUCGAGCCAGGAGAUGCCCGGGGAGCGGACAGUGGGGUCCAGGCCCCUGGGACCGGCCCUCUGCUCAGGUUGUUGGGGACAGUCUCUAGGCAACAAGCUCCGGCCUCCCCCGCCCCGUUUCUCGUCUGGUCUCAUCCCACCCCGUCGGGGCUCUGGACGGAGAGUGAGAAAGGCUGUGUAACCCACCCCAGAGCAGAAAGCUCUCCAGCGUCCCUGGGGCUCACCCCUUCCCAAGACCCUGCCCCUCUCCUUCCUUGGUCAGGUCCCCAAAACGCCCCUGUGGGAAGGUUCAUGGGCGGAUGUCAUGCUGGGGCCAGGGCCCUCCUGUGGCCCAGAAGACUCACUUGGCAGAGGCCAAGUCACCGGGAAGUGAUUAACGGAGCCAGCUCUGGCCGGGUCUGUUGCUGGAACUUUCCAAGCUCCCAGAUACACUGGCUCGGGGUCCCAGCUUGCUCCAAAUGCUCAGGAUUUCGGUAAAGAAAACCAAGGGCCUGCAAAUUCCUCUCCGAGCAGGGAGGUGAGUGGCAAAGGGGACACUGGGGUGAAUGUUCUCCCACCUGCCAGGGCAGUUAGACCCCCCCAAAGCUGGAUGGCAUCCAAGGGAUGGGAGCAUGGGCCGGGAGCAUGCUGGGGUUUUUCUCAUGCGUGCUUCGUGUCACUGUCCUGGCUGGUUUUCUUGGGUGUUUUUGAAGCUGCAGGCAUUUGUGGAGUGGGCUUCCCGCAGGCCGGGGUCACAGGGCAGCUCUCCCCCACCUUGGACUGCUGCCCAGCACCUCCUCUGGGCAGCAGCUCUUGUCGUGGGAGCCAGGCCCUGGGCAGAGCUCAGCCCCCUGUGAGAGUGUGCUGAGAGGGAGGACAGGCGCGGAGAGCCUACCGCGUGCUCGUCUGAGAGCUUUGCAUGCGGCUUUAUCCCGCUCCAUUCACCCUGGGCUCACUUCCAGCCCCUCCAUGGUUCUCUCUGCAAAAUGGGCACAAUAAUCGAACCAGGGAGCCGAGGCUCAGGGGGGCGACUGGCUGGCCAGGCUGAACGGCUGGACAGUGGCAUGGCAGGACCUGAGCCAGGCAGGGGGCCGCAGAGCUUGUGUGCCUCCCCACUCCGCUCCCCAGCCACCGAUGCCAGCCCUGCCCCUCCUGGUGACGCUGCCAUGCGCUCCCCUGGGCAUGUCAUGGGGUGUCACCUAAAAGGGUGAAGACUUUGGGGGCCUGCCCUUUUUGCCUGGGGGGCAGGAAGCAGUAGGGUGGUUCUGUGUGGUUGUUGGGCACCCAUGCUCUGGUGUUUGGAGACCUGGCUGCAAGUCCUACCCCUCUGUGCACCUCAGGCUGGCUCUCAACCUCCCUGAACCUCAGAGCCCAGCGGUACAAUGGGGACAGCGUGCUCAUCAUGCACAACCCCUCAUUUUUAUCGUCCUCGUUCCUGAUGCGAUUUCCCUAGACACUCUCCCAGGGUCCAGGUUAAUAUCCAGGGUUCAAACCCACAAAGAACAUUGGACCAGGGCUCGGGAGGCCAAGCAUGAACCCCACUCUGUCACAUACUACCACGGUCUCAGUUUACCCAUCCAUAACCGGGGCUGAUGCAGCCUGCACCUGUCACCACAUCCCAUAGUUAGGGGAAGGCCUGGGUGUCGGGGCUGGCCUGGGCUUGCAGGUCUGCUGGGAAAACCCACGGGCUACUACCUGGAAGAGGCUUGGAAUAUGCUGCACACUCAGGAAGCUUUACGACCACCCCAACGCCUGCAGGCGCUAUGCUUGGCUGGAAACACGGUCCUCCCAACCUCUGAGGCCUCUCCAGGACCCAGUGGGGUCCACAGAGCAAGUCGGAGUCACUAGGGUGCUGACUUAGACAAACGAGGGCUGGGUUGCCCACACCAGGAGCUAAGGAGUCUGGUUUUAUCACUGAGGUGACUGAGAGGACUUUCUGGGAGUACCAAAGCCCUUGAGGACUUGGAAAGGGACUUGUUGGCUGUUGGCCCUGUCAGACAGAAAUACUCCAUUUGGAUGGGAGAAGAACCCACGGGGUGGACAGUUCACUCCGCUCUGCCUAAGAUUCACCAUCGCAGAGCAGGAGGAAAGCCCUCAGCUGCUCCUGAGAACUCCCUGCUCAAGGGCAGGCUGGGAGUGCCGAGCCAGCCCUGUGUGGCGCUGGCAAGUCCCCUCCCCUCUCUGGACCCCUGGGACCACAGAUGAGAGUUGGUAAGCUGUCCCCACCAGAGGGUGUGCUCCAGCAGACAGGGUCGUGUCUGUCGGGUUCAGUGCCAUCCAGAACUGUACCUGCCCACGGCCCCCCACAAAGACGUGCCCAGGUCUUUGAAGAUGGUGUUAUUCGCUAAGGCGUGGACACCCUUGUGAACAGGAUCUCUGAAGAUCCUAUUUAGAUGGGGGACAUUGAAUCGGGGAGGCCUUCAGCCACACGACCGCAUCCUUGUAAGCAGAGGAAAUCCAGAUGCUGCAGUCAGGAGUAGCCAGAAGUCAGAGAAAGCCACAGCAGGGGACCAAGGUGGUGGCCGCCAUGUGACAAGGGCAGCAAUGUGAGCCAAGGAAACCCGAGGAUUGUGGGGGGGCCAGCACCAAUGCGCUGCAGACUCUGGGCGGGGGGCAUCACCUGGAGACCCUGAUGUUGGCCCUCCAGCCUCCAAAACUGUGAGAUAAUCAAUUCCAGUUCUUCAAGUCAGCCUGCUGUGCGGCAUUUGUCAUAGCAGCCCUGGCAGACUAAGUGCGCGAUUAGACGUGUGUUGGACCUGACUCAAUGCAAUCAAGGCCCAUUCCAGGGAUAAGCAGCCACUUCCAUUCUCUACCUGCCAAGGAAACAUGCUCUUGUGUUACCUUUUGGACCUGAACAGCUUCCCCAACCCAUCCCCGUGCACCAAGGUGAUCUCGGGGCCACCUUUCCCGCCAGUGGCUGGUCAUUCCCACCCCUUUCCUUUGUGCAUAUGGCUCUUCUCCCUUCAAGCCCUCUCCCAAAGCUUUUCCAUUCUUCAUGACACUGCACUUACAUUCCAAAUGUCUGCAGGCCCUAAAUAGCCCCCUUUCCUUGUAUGGACAUCCCUGUGAUGUCAUGAAGAUUGUUUUCCUGGGAGUCUGAAUUCUGCACACAAACAAUGGAAUUUUUUUUAAUGCUUUUUAAAAAUGAUCACCCACUUUUUAAAUCAGUUGCUGAUGUCAGGAUGAUUCAGUUCUCAGACGUUUGUGAUGAGCCUCUUGUGCCUCCCGAGUCCUGCCAGGCUGGGUCCAUGCUUGAUGGACAACCAUUGCUUUAAAGCUUUGAAAUGCAAUGCAAGCCACAGCUAUUGCUAUGUGCCGGAGUGAUUUCUUUUCCCUGAGCACUGGGCAUCUUGGAGUUGGGAGGUUGGGGCCAGAAUCCUUCUGCAGCAGGGGGGUGACACGGGCCACCCUGGCCUGGCCCUCCCUGCUGGGUCCCUGGCAGAGCAGCUCAUGUGUGCUGUUUCCAGCUCCCUUCACAGGCCACGGGGCAGGACUUUGGAGUGAGCUCUGCACCCUCACCCCCAUCCCACGUCAGAGCAGGCCUCUUUGCCCUCUCCCCCGGCCCCUCUGGCUCCCACCUCUGCCUGCCUCCCUACGUCUGCUCCAUUUGGCUCUGACGUCAGAGGUGGCAGCCGUGUCCCAGAGCCAGCCUUGCUUUGGGAAGGUGCGAGGCCGGGAGAGGGGACACCAGCCAGAGGUGGUGGGGCGACAGCUGCCUUGGAUGCCUCCCAGCCUGAUGUCUGAACAGGGUCCCCACUCCCACCCUGCCUGAUAGCUCCAGCCCUCCUUCUCCGCUCUGCUCAUGGCACCUCCUUCUACUCACUUGCUGAGGACAAAAAUCCAGGGGUCGCCUUUGUUUCCUCUUUCCCUCACUUCCAAACUCCUGUCCAUCUCCGGCUAUUGGCUCGACCUCCAAAUGUGACCCCAUCUUUCCACCCCACCACCAUAACCUGGGCCCACAAUGUCAGCCUGUCUCCCCCAAAACCCCUCCUCCCUGGGGUGGAGGCCCACUCUGCCAGCUCCAGUCCAUCCUGUAUGCAGCAACCAGAGGGAACCUGUGACAGCAAGAAUUCGCCAACUCGAGUGAGCGUCAGAGCCUCCUGGAGGGGAUGCUGGGCCCACCCCUAGUGGUUCUGACCUUGCAGCCAGUUCCAGGAGCCACUGAUCCCACUGGGCAGGGAAGCCCCUGGAGGACCACAGCUCUACACUAAGCCCUGUGCCAACUCCAAGCCAAAAUCAGAAUCAAAUGUAAACUAUGCCACAGAGCAGGGUAUGAAAAGCACAGACCCAGAAGCCAGACCUUCUGAGAUCAAGUCCUGCCUCUGCCACUUACUGUGUGUCCUUGAGCAAAUGACUUAACUUCUCUGUGCCUCGGUUUUCUUUCCUUAUCUGUAAAAUGGGAGCAACAAUGGCAGCUUCUUUCAAGGGUAGUUGUAAGGAUUAAAUGAGCUAAUUCAUGUGCCUUGGUUUGGGUUCCCUGAGAAGCACACACUGAGACACAGGUGCGAGUGACCC